AGGCGUGGAAAGCCCAGAGAAUGGAGCACCGGCGCACCAGGACAUACGCAUGCGUAUCUGGUACAGUCGAGUCAGUAUCUGCUUUGGGCCGCUUUGCUUUGGCAUGUGGCAACUGGCAGUGGCGCCAAGGGCAAGGGCGAGCACGCACAGUCGCGCACUGUCUGUCCUUGCGCUCCUGGCAAGUCUCAUCCGUCCGUGGCAACUUGGCAGCGGCGGUGCCCCCCAGCGCCGGUAGGCCUGGCUGGGGUUGCUCCUUGUUAAUUGCAAAAGGCAGGCACACCAACCCACCCAUUUGGCAGGUCCCACCUCUCUCUGCUACUAUUGCUACCUUGUUCUACCUGAAGCGGGUGCCGGAUUCUUUGCAGCCAACAGUCAAGUUAGCCACGGUGGAGUUCACGUCAACCUGCCACCAAUUGGAAGGACAUGUCGCUCUUCCAUCGAACAAUACGUUGCGGUAUAAAAAACCGUGAUGGCCUCCGAGUUCGUUCAGUAAUUCAUUUUCACUGUUGGCUAGCACUAGCAGACAGAGAGGGAAAGGAGAAGAGAGGAGGGGAGAGGGGAGGGGAGAGAAAGGAAAGCGACAAAGCCCUGUCAUAAUCUAUCGUUGGUGCAGUAAAGGUAUACUUGAUCGCCGUUAAGGUGGCUGAGCUUCCGAUACUCCAAACUCGGGAUCCGGAUGAGUUCAUGUGGUUGCACGAGCGUUGGAUCCCUAGGGUGCACGAGGCAUGUCUUCUCCCUCUCUACAGACUUGUCAAGGCAGACACGGGGAUUAGGUGAGUAGAGUCUGCGUGGUGGUUCAGUUUUGACCAUGACCUACUCACUACACUGGUGGAUAGGUGGAGACCGAAGACACACAUGUUCUAUCUCCCUUGCAAGGAGAUGGCGCCUACACUUGAGGAUGUCUCACUCCUGCUUGGCCUACCCUACACGGGCAAAGCGGUGGGACCGAUAGACUUGGGUUCCUCCUAGAGUGACAACAUUUGAGCACGGUUUGGUGUAGUUGACCGGAGGGCCGCUGCCCCUGUACAGAACGUUACCCGGGUUCAAAAUUUAUGGACCUUCCAAGAAGUUUCUACUCAAGUUUGUGGCACUUUAUGUGUCAUCUGUUUCUUCAUGCGAUGAAUGUUCCACCUCUACGUACUCAAUAUUUUUUAUUUGCUAACUCAUAAUCAAAUUACAUCCACCCAGAGGUGGAUGAUGACACAAUUGCUAGGCACUUGAAGGCCUACUUAUUGUGGUAGUUCGGCUGGAUCAUGUUCACCACCACACAUGGCAAAUCAGUCUUGAAUAUCUUGAUCCUGUACACUCGGUAGAUAGCUGAUGCCAGAUUGGGAAAGGUCCCUAAGUAUAG